rnacentral:rRNA from 1 species
GACGAACGCUGGCGGCGUGCUUAACACAUGCAAGUCGAACGGAAAGGCCCGGCUUUUGUGGGGUUCUCGAGUGGCGAACGCGUGAGUAACACGUGAGUAACCUGCCCUUGACUUUGGGAUAACUUCAGGAAACUGGGGCUAAUACCGGGUAGGAUAUCCUGCUGCAUGGUGGUGGUUGGAAAGUUUCGGCGGUUGUGGAUGGAUUGGAGGGUUAUCAGCUUGUUGGUCGGGUAGUGGCUUCCCAGGGCUUUGACGGGUAGCCGGCCUGAGAGGGUUACCGGCCACAUUGGUACUGCGAUACGGCCCAGACUCGUACGGGAGGCAGCAGUGGGGAAUAUUGCAGAGUGGGCGGAAGCCUGAUGCAGCAACGCCGCGUGCGGGAUGACGGGCUUCGGGUUAUAAACCGCUUUCGAAUGUGACGAAGCGUGAUUGACGGUAACGGGUAAAGAAGCAACGGCUAACUACGUG